UCUUAUCCAGAGCGGCUGAGGGACUGGCCCUAUGAUGCCCGGCAACCUGAAUGAUAACUUUCAUUCAACGGUGCUAAUUCCAGCAGGUGUAUAACCUGAAAGAUGAGG
rnacentral:ncRNA from 1 species